rnacentral:lncRNA from 1 species
GGUGACUUAUGUAGUUAUAAAAAAUGGAGUGAUAAUUUACUACUACUAAUAAUAAUAGUAGUAGAAUGGGGCAGGAGUAACCAUAGAACUGGUUGGGAUGAAAUAAGGUUGGUCCAUCCCUGACCUUAAAUGUUGAUAAUGUCAUUUUUUUGAACUCAGAUCCAAUCAUAGACUCGAAGCUAAGUCGACCCUAAACAUCGAUUGGGCAAGCCUUUAAAAAGAACUCGAUCCUAAACCUUAUUAAAUAUAAUGCAUACUCAUUUUAGAUAAAGU